rnacentral:rRNA from 1 species
AUAAUACUCCAUAGAUCGAUACUACUGGAAUGUUUUUCGAACGAAAGAUCCGUCGCUUCAGGAUGAAUCUGCGUCCGAUUAGGUAGUUGUUGGGGUAAUUGCCCAACAAGCCUGUAAUCGAUACGGGUUGUGGGAGCAAGAGCCCGGAGAUGGAUUCUGAGACACGAAUCCAGGCCCUACGGGGCGCAGCAGGCGCGAAAACUUUACCAUGCGGGCAACCGUGAUAAGGAAACCCCGAGUGCCAGCACAGGCUGGCUGUCCGCCAGUUUAAACAACAUGGCGAAGAAAGGGCCGGGCAAGACCGGUGCCAGCCGCCGCGGUAAUACCGGCGGCUCGAGUGGUGGCCGCUAUUACUGGGCUUAAAGGGUCCGUAGCUUGAUAAUAGGGUCUCCUUGAGAAAUCCGCCGGCUUAACUGGCGGGCGUUCAGGGGAUACUUGUUUUCUAGGGACCGGGAGAGGUGAGGGGUACUGCCGGGGUAGGAGUGAAAUCCUGUAAUCCCGGUGGGACCACCUAUGGCGAAGGCAUCUCACCAGAACGGGUCCGACAGUGAGGGACGAAAGCUGGGGGAGCGAACCGGAUUAGAUACCCGGGUAGUCCCAGCUGUAAACUAUGUGCGUUAGGUGU